GUGAGGAAUAUUGGUCAAUGGGCGGGAGCCUGAACCAGCCAAGUCGCGUGAAGGAAGAAGGAUCUAUGGUUCGUAAACUUCUUUUGCAGGGGAAUAAAGUGCAGGACGUGUCCUGUUUUGUAUGUACCCUGAGAAUAAGGAUCGGCUAACUCCGUGCCAGCAGCCGCGGUAAUACGGAGGAUCCGAGCGUUAUCCGGAUUUAUUGGGUUUAAAGGGUGCGUAGGUUGUUUGAUAAGUCAGCGGUGAAAGUUUGCAGCUUAACUGUAAAAAUGCCGUUGAAACUGUCGGACUUGAGUGUAAAUGAGGUAGGCGGAAUGCGUGGUGUAGCGGUGAAAUGCAUAGAUAUCACGCAGAACUCCGAUUGCGAAGGCAGCUUACUAAGCUACAACUGACACUGAAGCACGAAAGCGUGGGGAUCAAACAGGAUUAGAAACCCGAGUAGUCC
rnacentral:rRNA from 1 species